GAAUUCCAUGACCCAGUUUACAGUAAAUUGGAAGUAGACAGAAGGUGUAUUAGUCUGACCACAAAGAUGGAAAAGAAAAUCUAUCAAAAAAGAGACAGACUACUCAGUCAGAUAAUGAGGCCCUUCAAGUUAUAAAUAAGCUUUCCUGCUUAUAUCAGGACACCUUCAUCCUAUUAUUGUAUUAUAGCAUAGUACAAUUAUAUUUGGUCACAAUACUGACAAUGAGUCAUCCACAGCAUCAUCACCCAGCAUUUAUUGAUGUCUACUGUAAAGUAGAGUUGGAUGGCACCAUUUCUGCUCUCAAACAGUUUAAAAGAUCCCUGUGCAGAAAAAGACGUAUUUAGAACAUUUUGGUUGGUAAGGUGAUAUGUAACAAACUUGAGAUCUUAUAGGAUAGGAGAACACUAGGACACUAAUUAGGAACUGGUCCCAGGAACAAAGACCUUCUGGACUCAUCUGACAAGAUAAGAAUCAUCAAGCAUUCUUCCAGCAGAAAGUGACAAAGCCCUCCUUGAGCUGCUCAUGAGAAUUCACAAAUUUUUCAGAUAAAAGAUGCCUAUUUUAUUCUGGCUGAAAGCAUGAACAGAAUAAACAAUGAGCUCUGUGAAGAAUGUUCUAUGAACCCGAAUCAAACUCAAACUCCUGUGUCACUCCGGUACGCCUGAUCACUGGAUAUAACCACGUAUUGGUCCAGAACCUCCCUCUCUGUUACUACUCCCUUUGGAUUUAUCCAGUAGUCUUAGACGUCACCAGGGCCAAGCCAUGCAUAUAUAGAUUGAAAUGUUGUUUUCAAAACCUACUCAAGCUAUCUCUUGAUGAACAAGAUUAGUACCAUCUGAUUACAACCCUGAAGGCAUGUAUAGGCAAAAAGGAAAGUCCAAAGAGAGGAAAAGAAAGCAGGAGAGAUCUGAAAUGACACAAGAAGUGACUCAGAAUGGGAAGAUUGUGCACUCCUUGUUGUCCCCUAAUGCACAUGGAAGUAUGCAACAGAAGCUGUGAAAAUAACCCAGAGAGAAAGAAAAAAAUGAUGUAAAUUUAAACAUAGCAUAUUCUGGAAACAGUAUGCUUAUGGAACAGCCAGAGAGAUUUUCAAAACUUGAUCAUCUAAAUGCAGAGAACAGUUUCAAGGCUCUUUCUCACUUUCUCAUUUGAUUCCUGCAAUUGAAGCCAUCUGCUAUGCUGUGUCCUGUUCUUUGGAUCAGCACAUAUGACAAGGAAGUGAAAGUAGUCUCUGUCCAACAAUCAGUCUAACAGCCUGAGAAGAACUGAAUUCUGUCAAUGACCACGUAAGCUUCGAAGCAGACCUUUCGCUUGUUGAGCCUUCAGAUAGACAGCAGCCCUAGCUGACAUCUUAACUGCAGUCUUGUGACAGGUCCUCAGACAGGAUAAGCCAAAUUAUACCCAGACUGCUGAUCCACAGAAAAUGAGAGGAAACUCCAGGAUUCUAAAAGUAAAGCCCUAUGGAAAUAAAUCAAUAACAUUUCAAAUGAAGAACCAAAAUCGGGAAAUGCAAAUCACAACUCUAACAUCAACAUUAACUUAUAGCCAGACAAUUAUGCAUUUCUUUAGUCAACAACUAGCUGCUAAUUAUUUACUAUGUGUCAAGUCUUAUAAUGCUGAAGUGAAGAAAAGAGAUUUAAAGUCAUGGAUGUGGUUUCCUUUGGACCUUAAAUUCUAGCACAAAAUAUGAUAAACAUUGUAAUCAAUGCUAUCAUGUACAGGUAUGUGGUGUUAUGUGAAUAUAUGGGAAUACCUAAUUCGUAAACUGGGUUUAGAAAAUUCUUGCAGAAGAAAGUGGCAUCCAAACAAAGAACCAAGAACGAAUAAAAAUUAUUAUAGAUAAAGUGAAGCGGGUCUAGUGGAAUGACAAAAUUACUGAGUGUCAAGAGGUGGAAGGACUUGGUGAAUAAUUUGAAAAGGAACCAUCGGAGGAUGAUGGCCACAUUUCUGGCUCCAGCCAUCAGUAUGAACUUAUGGUUGAAGGCAUUCUCAGGGGUUAACAAGAAUUCUGGACAGAAAUAUGGCUAUAAGUAAGUAUUAAUCAGGCUGCACUUUGACCCACUUCCUUGUAACUGAAAGUCACUAGAUCCUGAAUAUUUGUAUCCCCAUUCCCACUGUUCUUAUAGAUAGAAUCUCUGACAUCAGAAUCAUAAGGCUUUUCUUUAAGAAUUGCUUAAAGAUGUUCUUCGGAUCCCCAAUUCCAGUGAAACAGCUGAUGACAACCAUUUUGAAGACCCCCACAGAGGAACAGAAUCAACAUGAGAUGGUUUCUUCCUCUCCCCAUCCUAUGACUUCCCCCUGUACUCUUCCACCAAUUAACAAUCUCCACACUUUGACCCACUCCAAAACCCUUAAAAACCCAGCCCCAAACUACCUGGGGAGAUGGAUUUGAGGUUCCUUCCCAUCUUCUCCUUCGAUGGCCCAACCAUUAAACCUCUUUCUCUGCUGUAACCUCGUGUCUCAGCAUAUUGACUUUUUGCACAUAUUGGGCAAAAAAAACCUAUUAUGGUUACUUGAUUGUGAUAACAUCAAAAGUACACUGAAUUUGGAGUCAGGAGACCUGAAUUCUAAUCCUAGCUUUGACAUUAAUUAGCUACGUGGAUAUAGGUAACUCACUUCACUUCUGAAGGCCUCAAAGCCCUCCAAGGAUUUUGAGAUAGGCAAUUUUUCCCUCAACUUAGCAUUAUCAUUUCAUGGUUUUAUGAUGCAACUUUUACAGCAUCACAAUGUUCCAUUAAUAAAAUUAUAUUGGUUUUUCCAUAUUUUUAAAUCUAAACCUUCAAAUAACUAUUUGUUUUCAUUUUUUUCUGGUGUGUUGCCUUUGUCUUUCCCCUUUAUUCUUUCAUGUUUUGCUUACCUAAGGAAAAGCUUACAAGAAGGAGCUGUGUCAACAGUAGUUGGUAUGGAUCCACACUAACUUUUAUUUGGGGUUUUAACUAAGAGAACUUAAUGUAUGACUUAUUGUAAAAUUAUAAAAAUCAAAUCAAGUUUUAUAACAACAGCCAUAGAAUGGUCUUUUUUUUUGCAAAACCAAAGAUACAUAUACAUAAAUGAAUAUGAUUUAUGUAGAAAAUGAUAUUAAAGGAUACAUACAAAAUUAUUGAGAAGCAAUUAGCCCUGGAAGAGAAAAAUCUGAGCUAGAGGGGUAGUGAGGCUAAAAUUUGUACUAUAAACUGUCCUAUAUUAUUUAAUUUGGUAUAACAAGAGUGUAUUAUUCUUAUAAUAGGAAUAUUACUUUAAACAUUUUUAUUAACUGAUAUUUAUUUUAUGUAUAUAAGGUUUUUUUUCAAUGUGGCUUUGUAAUCUACCACAUACUGGACUUAAAGUUAUAAACAGGAGAGAUGACUGAAGUGGAGGAAGGUUCAUUAGCCUCACACAGGAAAUGCCUUGAAGUAGACCGUGGGUGAAUCUGUUUAAGCUGUGACCCAAGCAGAAAUACUUUCUUCUCAAAGUGAUUUGAAACUAUUAUUCUCAUUGAAUCUAUGAUAAGAAAACUAAUUAUGAUAACAGACAUACGGUUGGAAGAGGAAACACAGGUAGAGCUGUCUUUACAUUAGAGAAAGAACUGAGAGAGCUAGGCAAAAGCCAUCAUUGGGGGUAACAGAACACAGCAGGGGGAAGCAUUCUGCAGAGCAUAUUGGAACAAAGCAAGUCUCUCCAAAAAAAUCUAAAGAAAAUAUUUUCAGAAAGUGCACAAGGCAAAGACUAAUGGCUCCCUGCAGAUAUUCAUAAGGAUAUAAGAAAGAAGAGGCUUUCCAAGAAAAUAUAACAUAUUUCAACAACAACAAAAGACUGGGCUAGAUUUGAGACACACUAAGAGUCAUUAACAACUAGAAGUUCUUAUCAUAACACUAUCUAUACUGUUUACAAUUGUGUCACUUUAUGCUUAUAUAAAGUAUAAAGAGACCACUUUACAGAAUAUGGGUUCAGUCAUUGUCAGGGUAUCAGAGUAUCUUUUGUUUUCCUUUAUUAUAUUGUAAGGACAACAUAAAGUAACCCAAAGAGAAAGGAGAGAACAGCUUAACCUCUCUAAACACUGCACAUUUUGGAAGUCUAAUCCCCUCUCCCUGUCCCAAAUCCUCUCAUUAUAUCUAAGCCCAGUGGAAGUAUGCUGGUCCUCACAGGCUGGCAGUUUUCUCAACCUGCAAUUAGAGUGUUUAGCUCUUUUUGCCAGCUACAGCUUUAGUCAUCAAUUCCAGGAAACCCUGACACCAAUUCACUGAAUAUCUAAACAUACAUUACCUACUUGAUCAUCUAUAUUCCCAGAUGCAAUGAACAUAUUUUCUUGUUAUCUUUUUAAGUCUUCUAAGUUAUAUUGUGCACAAUUUAAAUACACUUGCCUUAGUUUCUGAGACAGCCGUUUCUCGGUUUUCUAUCUUUCCCAGUUAUUUCUUGCCAAUCUCCUUUGUUAGCUCCUCCUCUUCAACAUGAAUUCUAAAUGUGUUUGCUUCUAUAUCAUAUUUUCUGCUCUAAUAUACCCUGUCUAUAUGUUAUUACAUCCUAAGAAAAAAACAAUUCCUAUCAUAGGUCAAACUUAUGCUCUAAAUUCCAAAAUCAUAUACCCAAUGGCUGAUAUAAUAUAACUAUGAAAUGAGCAAAUUCAAUAUCUAAAGGCCACUAAAUUGGAAUGAGACUUCUACCCGAAACAGAUUCCUCCAAGUCUUCCUUAAAUCCAUAAGUUACUUUCACACACACACAAUGCCCCAAAACAAGAAACCCCAAAGCCACAUUUGUUUCCCAAUUUCCUUCAAUCCCACAUUCAUUCCCAGCAAUUUCAGUCAAUUUUACCUCUAAAAUAUGUUUUGAAUUUGUUUACCUCUUCUGCAAUUCUCUAGUGCAUUACUAAUAUAAAUACAAUGCAAGCAACAUAUGUAAUUUUUAACUUGCUAGUAGUCAUAUUAAAAAUAAUUUGUGUAAGUCAA
rnacentral:lncRNA from 1 species